rnacentral:rRNA from 1 species
UUAGAAAAUAUUAUUAUUUUUUUUUAUACUAAGAACCCCAAAAGACGAGAAAUAGGCUUUUUUUCUUUAAAAGCCUUGGUGAUAGGUAUAUUUUAGAGGGGCUUGCGCCAUAUUAGUUAGUUGGUAGGGUAAUGGCCUACCAAGACGAUGAUGUGUAGCUGGACUGAGAGGUUGAACAGCCACAUUGGGACUGAGACACGGCCCAAACUCCUACGGGAGGCAGCAGUAGGGAAUUUUCGGCAAUGGAGGAAACUCUGACCGAGCAACGCCGCGUGAACGACGAAGUACUUUGGUAUGUAAAGUUCUUUUAUCAAGGAAGAAAAGCAAGUGGUGAACCAUUUGUUUGCCGGUACUUGAUGAAUAAGCCCCGGCUAAUUAUGUGCCAGCAGCCGCGGUAAGACAUAAGGGGCAAGUGUUAUCCGGAAUUAUUGGGCGUAAAGGGUGCGUAGGCGGUCUAGUAAGUCAGUGGUGUAAUGGCAACGCUCAACGUUGUCCGGCUAUUGAAACUGCUAAACUUGAGUUAGAUAGAGGCGAGUGGAAUUCCAUGUGUAGCGGUAAAAUGCGUAAAUAUAUGGAGGAACACCAGAGGCGUAGGCGGCUCGCUGGGUCUUAACUGACGCUGAGGCACGAAAGCGUGGGGAGCAAACAGGAUUAGAUACCCUGGUAGUCCACGCCGUAAACGAUGAGUACUAAGUGUCGGGUUAAACCGGUACUGAAGUUAACACAUUAAGUACUCCGCCUGAGUAGUACGUACGCAAGUAUGAAACUUAAAGGAAUUGACGGGACUCCGCACAAGCGGUGGAUCAUGUUGUUUAAUUCGAAGAUACCCGAAAAACCUUACCAGGUCUUGACAUGUUUUUGCGAAACGGUAGUAAUAUCGUGGAGGUUAUCAGAAACACAGGUGGUGCAUGGUUGUCGUCAGCUCGUGUCGUGAGAUGUUAGGUUAAGUCCUAAAACGAGCGAAACCCUUAUCGUUAGUUGCCAGCACGUUAUGGUGGGGACUUUAACGAGACUGCCAGUGAUAAAUUGGAGGAAGGUGAGGAUCACGUCAAAUCAGCAUGCCCCUUAUGACCUGGGCUACAAACGUGAUACAAUGGCUGUUACAAAGGGUAGCUGAAACGCAAGUUCUUGGCCAAUCCCCAAAAACAGUCUCAGUCCGGAUUGAAGUCUGCAACUCGACUUCAUGAAGUGGAAUCGCUAGUAAUCGCGAAUCAGCAGUCGCGUAAAUAUUGACUU